rnacentral:rRNA from 1 species
UACGGAGGGUGCGAGCGUUGUCCGGAAUCAUUGGGCGUAAAGGGCGCGUAGGUGGCGGGAUAAGCGUGCGGUGAAAGCCUGGGGCUCAACCCCGGGUCGGCCGUGCGAACUGUUUUGCUUGAGCACUGUAGAGGCAGGCGGAAUUCCGGGUGUAGCGGUGGAAUGCGUAGAGAUCCGGAAGAACACCGGUGGCGAAGGCGGCCUGCUGGGCAGUAGCUGACACUGAGGCGCGACAGCGUGGGGAGCGAACAGG